UAAUUAGUGAUUUAUUGCUAUUAAGUCAACUAAGCUCGACAUGUUAUCGAGGAUCAGCUCAAUAAUAUAAUGGAGAAAAGCAUAUACCUAUCAAUCUGUGUGGGCCUAAAAUUAGCCAUCACUCAUAAGUUUGUUAUAAAAUAGUUUAAUAUUUAGGUUUAAAUAAAAUUGCUUUAUUCCCAUUUAAAAUGAAGAUAAAAUUUCUAAUCAAUUUUUAUUUAUGCCUAUGCUAGGAUGAGUAUUAAAAUUCUUUUUAAAGCUUGCAUUAUUACAUUUGCGAGAUUAUUAAUAAAUAUUAGAAACAUUAAUUAAAAAAAAGGAACUCGGCAAUUGUGUUGCUCCGCCUGUUUAUCAAAAACAUGGUUCCUCGACUAAUAAAAAUGAGGAAUCAGGCCUGCCCAGUGAAAUUUUAACGGCCGCGGUACUCUGACCGUGCAAAGGUAGCAUAAUCAUUUGCCUUAUAAUUGAAGGCUAGUAUGAAUGGUUUAACGUGAGCGGCGCUGUCUACUUUUAUAUUUUCUAUAAAUUAACCUUUAGGUGAAGAGGCCUAAAUUUAAUUAAAGGACAAGAAGACCCUGUCGAGCUUAAAAGCUUAAAAAGAAAUUGUUAUUAAUAAAAUUUAUUUCUUUUGUAACUUUUUAGUUGGGGCGACUAAGGAACAAAUAAAGCUUCUUUCACUAAAACAGCCAAUAAGCUAAGAUCCAGUUUACUGAGCAAGAAAAUUAGUUACCGCAGGGAUAACAGCAUAAUCUUCCUUGAGAGACCAAAUCGAAAGGGGGGGUUGUGACCUCGAUGUUGGACUAGAAUAUCCUAAAGAUGCAGACGUCUUUGAGGGUUGGUCUGUUCGA
rnacentral:rRNA from 1 species